rnacentral:rRNA from 1 species
GAUGAACGCUGGCGGCGUGCCUAAUACAUGCAAGUCGAGCGAACAGAUGAGGAGCUUGCUCCUCUGACGUUGGCGGCGGACGGGUGAGUAACACGUGGAUAACCUACCUAUAAGACUGGGAUAACUUCGGGAAACCGGAGCUAAUACCGGAUAAUAUAUUGAACCGCAUGGUUCAAUAGUGAAAGACGGUUUUGCUGUCACUUAUAGAUGGAUCCGCGCCGCAUUAGCUAGUUGGUAAGGUAACGGCUUACCAAGGCAACGAUGCGUAGCCGACCUGAGAGGGUGAUCGGCCACCCUGGAACUGAGACACGGUCCAGACUCCUACGGGAGGCAGCAGUAGGGAAUCUUCCGCAAUGGGCGAAAGCCUGACGGAGCAACGCCGCGUGAGUGAUGAAGGUCUUCGGAUCGUAAAACUCUGUUAUUAGGGAAGAACAAAUGUGUAAGUAACUAUGCACGUCUUGACGGUACCUAAUCAGAAAGCCACGGCUAACUACGUG